GGCCGGAAGUUGCGGAAUACAGCUACCGUACUGGAAGAGCGCUUGGUUUCGGGAGCCUUUUUGGUGUCACGGUUCAGUAGUUUGUCUUUAAAAUUAACUGUUUUUUUUUUCUUUUUUGAGUUUUCGGAAAGACAAAUUUCGCUACGUGUUAGGAGCUUGAGGCUCUCCUAUUUUUUUUUCGAGACAGGGUUUCUCUGUGUAUCCCUGGCUGUCCUGGAACUCACUCUGUAGACCAGGCUGGCCUCGAACUCAGAAAUCUGCCUGCCUCUGCCUCCUGAAGCGUGCGCCACCACUGCCCGGCUUGAGGCUCUCUUCUUACAGCCACUUUACUGGGUGGAUUGACACUCGAUCCUUGCGUCAAGACAGUGAGACAUCUCGCCUUUUAGCUGUGCCUGGUUUUAGUUCUGUUCGUUGGGGGACACCGAGCCCCGGACGACCUUCCCUCCGAGACUCCAGACACCAUCCCCAUUUGGUCUCUGUCCCCCCCCGGGGGGGGCGGGGGGGGCGAGCCCAGCCCCUCCGGUGCGACUAGGAAUGAAGCUGGACAGUGCCGAAGAGAAGUCGGGGGUCGGCUGCUCCCUGCCUGCAGAGGGCUCUCCCCCGGCCCUCGAACCAGCCUUCUCCAAGAUUCUGAACCGUCUCAGCCGCCCAAAGUCAUCAGGACAGGGCGGCGCAAGAAAUGCGGCUCUUAAAGACCUCGGCGCUUUAAUAGAAGCCGCCGAAGGUGACAGAUUCUUUGAGGGGAGUGGGAGUGGGGGAUCCCUCCGGGGGAUGCCCGAGAUCCUGGGGCAGGUGGUGAGAGCCCUGGAGAAGUUCGCAGCACCCGAGGAGAAGGCAGAUGGGGUCGAAGAGCAUCCCGAAGUGCCCGAGAAGGCGACUGAAGUUGGCUCACUGUUUCUAAAGCUGUUGGGGAAGGUUGAAGCUGCCAAGAGUUCUCCCGACUGCCCUGCGUGGAAGACAGGCCUCCGUCACAUGUCAGGACCCGUGUAUAUUUUUGCCAUCACUCACAGAUUGAAGCAGCCAUGGACCAGUCCAGCAUCUCAGCAUGUUGCUGGUGAGGUGCUGUCUUUAUUGCUUAGAGUUACUGAGUGCAGUUCUGUGGCAGGAUUCCUAUGCGGAGAAAAUGAAGACGAUCGAGGGAGAUUUGCUGUGGUCUUGGGGCUUCUUAAGCCCCAUUUGAAUAAGGAAACCUGGAAGAAGAAUCCUGCUGUCAAACAUGUUUUCUCGUGGACUCUCCAACAAGUCACUCAGCCCUGGCUGAAUCAGCAUCUAGAAAAGAUACUUCCUCCGUCUUUGCUCAUCUCAGAUGACUAUCAGACAGAGAAUAAAAUCCUGGGUGUCCAGUGCCUCCAUCACAUUGUGGUUACUGUGCCAGCUGCGGACUUGCUGCAGUAUAACAGAGCCCAGGUCCUGUACCACGCCCUCUUCAAUCACCUGUACAUGCCUGAGCACCACCUCAUUCAGGCUGUGCUCCUGUGCCUCCUAGACUUGUUCCCUGUCCUAGAGAAGGCUCUGCACUGGAAGGGAGACACAGCUCGAGUCACCACACACUGUCAUGAAGUGUUACAGCUGAUCCUCACGCACAUGGAACCAGAGCACCGCCUCCUCCUACGGAGGACCUAUGCCAGACACCUGCCAGCCUUCGUGAAGAGGUUGGGGAUCCUAACUGUCCGGCACUUGAAGAGGCUGGAGCAAGUUAUCCUUGGUUAUCUGGAGGUUUAUGAUGAACCAGAAGAUGAAACUAGGUUGAAGAUCCUGGAAACCCUGAAACUUGUCAUGCAGUAUACUUGGCCCAGAAUUCCCUGCAGAGUUGUGGUCUUACUGAAGGCUCUCCUGAAACUCAUAUGUGAUAUAUCGAGGGAUACGAUCCCCACAACCGAGGCCGCUAAGAGUACAAUGCUCCAGGAAGCCACAGACUGCCUGAUUCUCCUGGACCACUGUUCCCAGGGGCAGGUGAAGGGUCUUCUGGCUAAAAUUGCAGUAUCCUGUGAAGACAGCACAGUGGUGAGCUGCAUCAGGAAGGUGCAGCAGGGCUCUGCAGAUUCUCCUGGCGAUGACACUGAAGGUGACUAACCAGCAGGAAAGGCCGCUCUCCUUAUCCCAGAUCACAUGGAUGUAGUUAUGGGGGGCCUUGUCGAAGGCAUGGAUGGGGAAGUUGUAGAUGUCGCCAUACUGAAGAAGAAACACAGACCACCUUUAACUAUGCCUGAGUAUCACACCUUUCCAAGUUCCUCUGCUCUACAAUCAGGGGCCAAGUAAGAGAACAGUGAUGAACUAUAUUUCUAUAGUUUUCCAGCCUGGGUACAGAAUGCUUUUGUCACUAGUAAUCUAAGCUGAGAAGAAAUAGUGACUUUUUAAAAAAGAGACUUUUUAUUUUAAAAACCCUUAAAAGAUUAGAGAACUACACAGAAACAAAAGCUCUAGGCAUUGAGGCUGGGGCAGAGCUCACCACAUAUGAAUUCUCAGGUCCAACACCAACAUCAUUCACACCGGACAUGGUGACAGACACUUGUAAUACAGCACAGUUGGAGGCAAGAGGACCAAGAAUUCAUACUCAUCUUUUGCUACAUCUUUUGAAUCUAAGGCCAGUCUGGGAUAUCAUUAGGUAUGGACUCAAAACAACAAGAUACACUAUAGGGAGUGGGGAAGGUGCCAAAAUGAGUGAGGUGCUGAAUGACUAUAUAUACCAGGGACCCCAGGCCCCAGACUCCAACAGCAAAGCCGCCUCCUCAGGGAUGGCAAAGCCACCCUUGGUCUGAGUGCAAACGUUGACAAGAUGUGGAGAAAAUGUGUCAUAGUUCAGCCUCUCCCAGUAUUUAGGGUCUGAAGUAUUCCCACUAGAGAUACUGCUACUGAGAUUAGUUAAACCUGUCUCCUCAACCUAGUCGUAUCCAUAAACCUGCAUCCUUAUUUAUCUAUAAGCCAUUCCCUUGUUCAGCUGUAUGAAAUAACCUGUCUCCCUGAGAGUCAGCUCUGUAUAAUAAAAUGCUGCCAAACAUCCAAGAGACUCAGCUUUGUCUUCCCAGUCCAUCUCAGCACAGCUUUCUGCCUGUCUUUUCAUCCCCUUGCUGCCCCAAGUCAGGUCUGUGCCUGGAGGCUGUGCAUGGACAGGGGAAAACAAAACGAAACCCAGAAGACCAAAACCUAUGACUGUUAGGAUGCUUUUAUACACAACUUGGAAAGAUCAACUAGAGAUAACAGCCAAGAGGAAAGUCUCAUCAGGAAGACAGGCCUACACACAGACUUGCUUUACUCUGUGGACAAACUGGGGUGCAAAGGCUAUCUGUGAUAUUUUAAAAAAUACUGCACUUUUCGUAUUUCCUAGCAGGUAAGAAAACACUUGUCACAACACUACUAGGUUUCUCACCGUAUCUUGUUUCAGUCUCUCCAGCAAUUCCUUCUCAAUAGCAUUGUCCAGCUGGGCAGCUAUUAAUGCUUUUUCCUGUAAGAAAAGACCAAACCAUUACUCCAUCAGGACUCACUUUCCAGCCUGUACACAUACAGUCCCCUAUGUUUAAUAAGGGUAUGACGUGGUUGUAUACCAGCAAGGCUUUUGCUUUUCUAGCCAGAUACACUUCUUUCUCUCUCAAAGCCUCUUGGGAGCUUUUCAAUUAGAAGUUCCCUUCUAUAAUUUGCAUAAAUGUAUCCAGUAAAUAAAAUGAAAAUAAUUCUUAUGACUUCAGCAACAGCACUCUGAAUUUCUAACAAACCCUUGAUAGAUGUAUUAUACAUAUUGACUUAUAUCCAUUUAAGAAUGUCACAUAGGCCAAGGUAGAUGGCUCAGUGGGUGAAAUACCUGGCUCACCAAUGUGAGGAUCUGAGUCUGAGCUCUCAGAACACAUGUAGAAAACCAGGCGUGAUGGCAUACACCUGUAAGGGGGCCAAUAGCAAGAGAGGAGGCAUAGGGAGGUGGAGCCCUAGAAGCUUGUGGAAAAGAUCCUGGCCCACAGAGUUCAAGCCAGGAAAGAUCUCCUCUCAAACAGAAUGCAAGGAACCUGAGGACUGUCACCCAACUUCCACAUGCAUGCUAUGCCAUGCAUGUAUGCAGUGCAAACACACUAAGUAAGAAAUACAUUAGGUGGAUAAAAAAGAAGCUCAGAAAGUACUUAAUAAUGAGCCCUCUGAAUUCAUACAGAAAAAGUGUAUUUAUUCUGAAACAUCUGCAAGAAUGUUUGAGAGUAAGGAAAUGUGGAAACUAACUAGCUGGUCUUGAAUAAAAAUGGGUGCAUGAUUAGCAAAGUGUAAAAAACUGACAAUGACUGCAGUGUGUGGUGAUACACACCUGUAAUCCCAGGCCAGUUUAGGUCACAGAGCAAGAAGCUGUCUUAGACACCGAUGAAAUAGUACAUUUGAGACAGAAAGUUUCACGUGAUGAGUGAGAAUAAAAGUACAACUAUUCCGGAGGAAGGUGUUCCUUAGAAGGACAGAACAGAGCGGCAAACGCUGAGGACUGCAGAUGGACCUGUUGGGAAGAGCUGACUCCCAAGUGUAGGUCCUGAGGACCAUUGAAGCUCGGCUCAACUCAACUGUCACUAUCUGUGAGAUGGCCUGAUAGAUUAUGCUCUGGGCAAAGCUGGAAGAGCAGGCCUUCUCCAUGCAUAUUACCAUCACCAUCCUUAGGAACCAAGCCACCCAGGUUACUUGAGAGCAGCUUAAUCUGAGAUCAACAUGUAUCCAGUUUUCUGUUUUGUUACAAACAAAUGCAAUCUCACAAUCGAACCCUUCCAUUUUCUAAAUAAUAUAACCAAAAUAGCCAUAAGACUAAAGAUAUUGUCUAAACUCUGCAGAAGGUAAUGUAAGUAGAAGACAGAAAGUGUCAAAGUCUAAAUUAUGGAACGUUUUGACCUGAAGACCUUUAGAUAGAGCUGUCCAUACUCUUUUUAUUAUACUCGAACACCUUAGAGUACCUUAUUUUCAGCCUUCAGUGAAAAUCUUAAAAAUCUGAAGAUACAAAGAGGCCACUCCCCACUAGUGACACGUUAUUAUGAAUCACAUGCAAAAAACAACUUUCUUACAUAAUAAAGAAACAUGUAAACAUCA